CUGGUCUGCAUCUCCCUGGUGAUCUGGUUCUCAUCCGAAUGCAGACAGCGGAAAGGGAGGGUUUUCCACAAGGAGGUCGGCAAGUAUUUCUAGAAAGAAAAGAGCUUCUCUUCUAAUUAGAGCACCAAAGACUACGCUACAGUCAGAGAACGACUUUUAAAACCCACUUUGUAAGGAAGGAGCCCAGGAGACCUCCAGCACUUUUCUGCAGAGAAAUACUCACAGGGAGAGACUGUCGAUUGAGAUGGGGCCAGGGGGCUGCCUGUGACUGGUUAUCUUCCAGGUCAGCAAGAGGGCAGGGGCCAGUGCUACACAGCUGUCUUACAAAAGAUUUUACUUCACUUUGAAAAAUCUACCCGUCUUGGUACAUACGCAGCUGCUUCGUUAGUUGUGACUCUGCACAGCAUGAAGUUUAUACCCACCUGCUCCGAUGACAGACAGGACUUACUUGGUUUGUGUUUGGGCAUCCAACACAUCGUCUUACCACUGCAGUCCAUGAAAAGUGCACUGACAAGAACAUUGGGAUCUCCAGGUAGUUGUUUCUACCCAGGAAGAGACGAGGGAAGACCACCAAAGCAGUGUGGUAGCCGGGAAAUUACAGAUAAGGAUCAUGGCCCUGUUCAGUUUCUUCAUCCACCACCCAUGAAGAGGCAUCGCCUAAGAAGCUGUGAUUCUGUUUCACCCAUGUGAACAAGGCAAUCCUCAGGAGGUCCAAAAGCAGCUAGAAGAACAUAGACCCCUGGAGAACUUUGUGGAGAAGGGCUUCUAGAAGUCUCUGGUUUGCCCUUCAACAGCACAUUUAUAUGACAAAGAAAAUUUUCUAUCUUGCUUAAUCAUUGUUACUUGGUCUUUAUGGUACUAAUCAAAUAAACAUCCUAACUGAAAAAAAUCAGAGUAGAAUUAAGGACUGAUAACUAAAGGGGGGCCAAAGUUUACACACACCUACCUAGAUUAUUCCGAGAGUCUUUUGACUGAUUUUACUGUUUUUGGUCUUGUCCCUGUUCAAUGCAUUCUCCAUAUUAUAACUAUAAUCUAAGACAUAAUCUGGUUAUACUACCUGCCUAUUAAGAAACCACUGCCUAGAGUUGAGUUGUAUUGUCUAAUAAAGUAGCCACUAAAAUUCAGUAAAAAUUCAUUAGUACUAGCCACAUUUCAAGUGGUUUUUUUUUUUUUUUUUGAGGCAGGGUCUAUUUCUGUCUCCCAGACUGGAGUGCAGUGGCGCAAAUACAGCUUACUGAUGCCUCGACCUCCCAGGCUCAAGCGAUCCUCCCACCUCAGCCUCCCAAGUAGCUGGGACUACAGGGGCAUGCCACCAUGCCUGAUAAUUUUUUUUGUAUUUUUUGUGAAGACAGGGUUUCAUCAUUUUGUCCAGGCUAGUCUCAAACUCCUGAGGUCAAGGGAUAUGCCUGCCUCGGCCUCCAAAAGUGCUGGGAUUACAGGCGUGAGCCACCAUGCCCAGCCUCAAGAGUUUAAUAGCCACAUGUACAUAGCGAUUACUGUGUUGGACAACACAGAUACAGGAUAAAGUUCUAUUGGACAGCAUUGGGCUAGGAGAAGCAUGUCCAAGCCACCCACAUGUCCUGUAAAGCUUUCUCUCCAGACUUACCUGCUGUCGCCAUAAACUUAGUCAAGGCCACCAUGCUGUUUCUCAGCCCUGCAUUUGUUCAUAAUGCUACUGCCAAGGAAUUCUCUCUCCUCCACCUUGUCCACCUAGAAAACAAUUCAUUUUUUUUAAGUAUUACCUUAUUUACACACACACCCAAAAAACCCCAGAAGCAUUGAGUAGUUCAAGAAUUAAUUUUGAAUACAUCUUCCCAUUUAUCUACUAUCCCUACAA
rnacentral:lncRNA from 1 species